GGGGAUAUGGCGAAAUGGUAGACGCUGCGGACUCAAUCCCGCUGGUCUUUGUAGCACCGUGAGGGUUCGAGUCCCUCUAUCCCCA
rnacentral:tRNA from 1 species